rnacentral:rRNA from 1 species
GGCUUAGAGUUUGAUCAUGGCUCAGGAUGAACGCUAGCUACAGGCUUAACACAUGCAAGUCGAGGGGCAGCAUGAUUGAAGCUUGCUUCAAUCGAUGGCGACCGGCGCACGGGUGAGUAACACGUAUCCAACCUGCCGAUAACUCGGGGAUAGCCUUUCGAAAGAAAGAUUAAUACCCGAUAGCAUAGUAUUUCCGCAUGGUUUCACUAUUAAAGAACUUCGGUUAUCGAUGGGGAUGCGUUCCAUUAGAUAGUUGGCGGGGUAACGGCCCACCAAGUCAACGAUGGAUAGGGGUUCUGAGAGGAAGGUCCCCCACAUUGGAACUGAGACACGGUCCAAACUCCUACGGGAGGCAGCAGUGAGGAAUAUUGGUCAAUGGACGAGAGUCUGAACCAGCCAAGUAGCGUGAAGGAUGACUGCCCUAUGGGUUGUAAACUUCUUUUAUACGGGAAUAAAGUGGAGUAUGCAUACUCCUUUGUAUGUACCGUAUGAAUAAGGAUCGGCUAACUCCGUGCCAGCAGCCGCGGUAAUACGGAGGAUCCGAGCGUUAUCCGGAUUUAUUGGGUUUAAAGGGAGCGUAGGCGGGUGCUUAAGUCAGUUGUGAAAGUUUGCGGCUCAACCGUAAAAUUGCAGUUGAUACUGGGCGCCUUGAGUGCAGCAUAGGUAGGCGGAAUUCGUGGUGUAGCGGUGAAAUGCUUAGAUAUCACGAAGAACUCCUAUUGCGAAGGCAGCUUACUGGACUGUAACUGACGCUGAUGCUCGAAAGUGUGGGUAUCAAACAGGAUUAGAUACCCUGGUAGUCCACACAGUAAACGAUGAAUACUCGCUGUUGGCGAUACACAGUCAGCGGCCAAGCGAAAGCAUUAAGUAUUC